CAGUCGCCGCGGGAAUACGUAGGUCCCGAGCGUUGUCCGGAUUUAUUGGGCGUAAAGCGAGCGCAGGCGGUUAGAUAAGUCUGAAGUUAAAGGCUGUGGCUUAACCAUAGUACGCUUUGGAAACUGUUUAACUUGAGUGCAAGAGGGGGGAGUGGAAUUCCAUGUGUAGCGGUGAAAUGCGUAGAUAUAUGGAGGAACACCGGUGGCGAAAGCGGCUCUCUGGCUUGUAACUGACGCUGAGGCUCGAAAGCGUGCGGAGCCAACAGGAUUAGAUACCCCAGUAGUCCCUGUCUCUUAUACA
rnacentral:rRNA from 1 species